rnacentral:lncRNA from 10 species
CUGAAACAGAGGCAGAGACCUGAGGUCAGCAAGUGCACAGGACCAGCCAGCAAAGCCCAUUCUGAAACAGCAAGAGGAUCCAUCCUUCCACAGCCUGUCCACAAAACCCUCAGACAUAAAGAGAACCAGGGAAACCUAUAACCAAGCAACCCUGAAGGACGCUAACAAUCCCAUCCCUCUCUAAAGCCCUUCCCUCCUCACCACAACUCUUCCUGUCUCUCUAAACAUUUUUUCCUGCAUUCAAGGUGCACCAGCAAGCUGUCCUUCCACGACACUGUUGGAUGAAAGACAUGUCUCCACCCAAAUUCUUUUGCUUGACCCACUAUGGAGAUUUUUCUCUGGCUUCUUCAGUCUGAAUUCUAGACAGGGCUUGACCGGCGUAAGUAAGCAAGAGAAUGGCUUCAGCUGCACACGUGAGGGCGCAGAGAACUGACUACUACCCACGCGGGACCCUGGGUCCACGGGGACAACCCCACAAGACUGCAGCUACCUUCUGCCCGAUGAAUCUUCCCCAGUCUUUUGUCUCUGUGGUUUGGUGCUUACCUUUUUUUUCUUUCUGCCUCUACUGAACUUCAUGAAAUAUGAUCUUUUAAUAGACACUAAGGAUUCUAUUCCUUCUAAUACAUGACUCCCAGAGGCCACUGGGAAUGACAUCCCACAUCAUCACCUCACAAAUCUUAGAAACUAACUCAGAGCCUUGGAGAAUGUUUUCUGUGAGGACCAGACAGCAAAUAUUUUGAGCUUUGCAGGCUACAGUCUCUGACACAACUACUUCACUCAAAUUUUUUUUGAGACAGCAUCUUGCCCUGUCACCCAGGCUGGAGUGCAGUGGCACGAUCACAGCUCACUGCAGCCUCAACCUGCCAGGAUCAGGUGAUCCUCCCACCUCAGCCUCCGGAGAAGCUGGGACUAUAGGCACGCACCACCAUGCCUGGCUGUUUUAUCAUUAUUUGUAGAGAUGGGAGUUUCACUAUGUUGCUCCUGGCUUUAGCCUCCCAAACUGCUGGAUUACAGGCAUGCACCAUCACACCUGGACCCACAAACCUUUAUUUAUGAACACUUAAGUCUGAAUUUCAGAUAACUUUCACACGUCCCAAAAUCAUUUUUUUUUUCAACCAUUAAGAACCAUGCCUGUCGCGGUGGCUCACACCUGUAAUCCCAGCACUUUCGGAGGCCGGGGCGGGUUGCCCACUUGAGGUCAGGAGUUUGAGACCAGCCUGGCCAACAUGGUACAACCCCA